UUUCCACAGAUUGGUGGCGUUUUGCAGAUGCUCAGGGUCAAGGGUCGGCGGCCUUUUUCCCUCAUCUUCUGGGUCUGCCGGCAUUAUUCAGCGCACCAGCCCUGAACCAAGAGCAACCCCUCCUUCAGUCUCACGCAGCCAGACGCGCUCCGGUGAAAGGACUGAAUGGCUCCAUCAAUGGAAAGGCGAAAUCAAGCUCAGCCUCCUCCACACCCUCUCCAGUCCUCAUCCCUCCAGAUCAGACCAAGAGCCUGAAAACCAGCCCCAAACCAGCACUAAACCAGCUAGAGGAGAAAACUAGACACAAAACAAAAGACGAGAAGCCGCAUAGCAAAGUGCCAGACGUCUCCAUCAACAGCGACAGCCAAUCAGCAUCCAGCUCUGACAGCUCGAGCGAUGCUCUUAGCAGCUCUGACUCAGACGACCUGGAGGAUGUUGACGAUGAUGAUGAUGAUGAUCAGAGUGAUGAUAGUGUGGACUCAGAAAAGUGCAGAAAAGAUCAGAAAGUUAUCC